rnacentral:rRNA from 1 species
GCAGCUUGCUGCUUCGCUGACGAGUGGCGGACGGGUGAGUAAUGUCUGGGAAACUGCCUGAUGGAGGGGGAUAACUACUGGAAACGGUGGCUAAUACCGCAUAACGUCGCAAGACCAAAGAGGGGGACCUUCGGGCCUCUUGCCAUCAGAUGUGCCCAGAUGGGAUUAGCUGGUUGGUGAGGUAACGGCUCACCAAGGCGACGAUCCCUAGCUGGUCUGAGAGGAUGACCAGCCACACUGGAACUGAGACACGGUCCAGACUCCUACGGGAGGCAGCAGUGGGGAAUAUUGCACAAUGGGCGCAAGCCUGAUGCAGCCAUGCCGCGUGUAUGAAGAAGGCCUUCGGGUUGUAAAGUACUUUCAGCGGGGAGGAAGGUGUUGUGGUUAAUAACCGCAGCAAUUGACGUUACCCGCAGAAGAAGCACCGGCUAACUCCGUGCCAGCAGCCGCGGUAAUACGGAGGGUGCAAGCGUUAAUCGGAAUUACUGGGCGUAAAGCGCACGCAGGCGGUCUGUCAAGUCGGAUGUGAAAUCCCCGGGCUCAACCUGGGAACUGCAUUCGAAACUGGCAGGCUUGAGUCUUGUAGAGGGGGGUAGAAUUCCAGGUGUAGCGGUGAAAUGCGUAGAGAUCUGGAGGAAUACCGGUGGCGAAGGCGGCCCCCUGGACAAAGACUGACGCUCAGGUGCGAAAGCGUGGGGAGCAAACAGGAUUAGAUACCCUGGUAGUCCACGCCGUAAACGAUGUCUACUUGGAGGUUGUGCCCUUGAGGCGUGGCUUCCGGAGCUAACGCGUUAAGUAGACCGCCUGGGGAGUACGGCCGCAAGGUUAAAACUCAAAUGAAUUGACGGGGGCCCGCACAAGCGGUGGAGCAUGUGGUUUAAUUCGAUGCAACGCGAAGAACCUUACCUGGUCUUGACAUCCACGGAAGUUUUCAGAGAUGAGAAUGUGCCUUCGGGAACCGUGAGACAGGUGCUGCAUGGCUGUCGUCAGCUCGUGUUGUGAAAUGUUGGGUUAAGUCCCGCAACGAGCGCAACCCUUAUCCUUUGUUGCCAGCGGUCCGGCCGGGAACUCAAAGGAGACUGCCAGUGAUAAACUGGAGGAAGGUGGGGAUGACGUCAAGUCAUCAUGGCCCUUACGACCAGGGCUACACACGUGCUACAAUGGCGCAUACAAAGAGAAGCGACCUCGCGAGAGCAAGCGGACCUCAUAAAGUGCGUCGUAGUCCGGAUUGGAGUCUGCAACUCGACUCCAUGAAGUCGGAAUCGCUAGUAAUCGUGGAUCAGAAUGCCACGGUGAAUACGUUCCCGGGCCUUGUACACACCGCCCGUCACACCAUGGGAGUGGGUUGCAAAAGAAGUAGGUAGCUUAACCUUCGGGAGGGCGCUUACCACUUUGUGAUUCAUGACUGGGGUGAAGUCGUAACAAGGUAACCGUAGGGGAACCUGCGGUUGGAUCACCUCCUUA